rnacentral:tRNA from 1 species
GGCGAAGUGGCCGAGUGGUUAAGGCGCUGUGUUUAGGCCGCAGUGGGAAACCUCGCGCGUUCGAAUCGCGUCUUCGUCA